rnacentral:lncRNA from 1 species
UAUCCUGACUCAAUGUUCUUCAACAAAUAAGAUGGGCAUGUGGAGAGUGAAUAGACAUUUUACACCUGGAAACUUGAGGUCUGAAGAUAAAGUGACUUGACCAGGGUCAGACAGUAAAGGUCAGAGUUUCUUCUAAUCUCCUCGUUCCCCACCUGCAUGCACUUUGAUGACAGCCAGAUGUGCAGCCCGUCCUGGAUCAUCUCAGGAUCAAUCUAGGCCUAAGAAAAGUCAGGCACACCAGUGAGAGUUGGCACUGGAAGCACAGGACCCAGCACUGCUCACAGCAGCUGGUACUUGUCCAUUUCACCCUGCUGAGCCCAGAGAUGGCUGCACUGCAGGUACACGGCUUAUCUGGAAGCUGCUGUAUGGCCCAUAGCAUAAUCCCCAGAAACAGCACAAAGGAGUAGGUGACAUCGGGGGCUCUGUCUCUUUGGAGUGUUUUGUGG